rnacentral:rRNA from 1 species
UACGUAGGGUGCGAGCGUUGUCCGGAAUUAUUGGGCGUAAAGGGCUCGUAGGCGGUUUGUCGCGUCGGGAGUGAAAUCCACUGGCUUAACUGGUGGCUUGCUUUCGAUACGGGCAGACUGGAGGUAUGCAGGGGAGAACGGAAUUCCUGGUGUAGCGGUGAAAUGCGCAGAUAUCAGGAGGAACACCGGUGGCGAAGGCACUCUACUGGGCCAUUACUGACACUGAGAGACGAAAGCUAGGGGAGCAAAUGGG